CCCUUAGACGUUCUGGGCCGCACGCGCGCUACACUGACCAGUGCAACAAGCAUCCGUCCUUGGCCGACAGGCUCGGGCAAUCUUUGAACGCUGGUCGUGAUGGGGAUAGACUUUUGCAAUUUUUGGUCUUCAACGAGGAAUUCCUAGUAAACGCAAGUCAUCAACUUGCAUUGAUUACGUCCCUGCCCUUUGUACACACCGCCCGUCGCACCUACCGAUUGGAUGGUCCGGUGAGGCCUCGGGACUGUGGCCUGUGCCUUUAUUGGUGCUGGCCGCGGGAACCUGUCCAAACCUUAUCAUCUAGAGGAAGGUGAAGUCGUAACA
rnacentral:rRNA from 1 species